rnacentral:rRNA from 1 species
UACGUAGGGUGCAAGCGUUAAUCGGAAUUACUGGGCGUAAAGCGUGCGCAGGCGGUUUUGUAAGUCUGACGUGAAAUCCCCGGGCUCAACCUGGGAAUUGCGUUGGAGACUGCAAGGCUGGAGUUUGGCAGAGGGGGGUAGAAUUCCACGUGUAGCAGUGAAAUGCGUAGAUAUGUGGAGGAACACCGAUGGCGAAGGCAGCCCCCUGGGUCAAAACUGACGCUCAUGCACGAAAGCGUGGGGAGCAAACAGG